rnacentral:misc_RNA from 1 species
CGACCCUCAAGUAUAACUUGGUGUUGGGUGAAGUCCUUUAGGGGACUCCCCCCUAACUUGUAGGCGGUCAUCGCCUUUUAUCCUUCAGCGUAGCAGGCUUACGCACUCGCUUGAGGAUAGGCGGUUUGACUCGCUAAAUAAACCCUUUUAAAG